rnacentral:lncRNA from 1 species
UUUUUUUUUUUUUUUUUAACUUAUUUAUGAAAGGGGAAGGGGCAGAGGGAGUAGCAGUCUCCCCACUGAGCAGGGAGCCUGAUCCAUGGGAUUGAUCCUGGGACCCCUGAGAUCAUGAGUGAGCCAAAGGCAGGCAGACUCUUUUUUUCUUUUUUUUUUAAGAUUUUUUUAUUUAUUAGAGACACACAGAGAGGCAGAGACACAGGCAGAGGGAGAAGCAGGUUCCAUGCAGGGAGCCUGAUGCGGAACUCGAUCCCAGGAGCCCAGGACCAGGCCGAAGGCAGACGCUCAACCUCUGAACCACCCAGGUAUCACAAUGCUGGCAGACUCUUAACCAACUGAGCCACUCAGGUGCCCCCUCCCGUUACAACAUCUUGAAGGGAGUCUUCCUUACCAUCUUAACAGGUGUCAGAAUAAUUUUUUCUUUAACAUUAUUUUGCACAACUUUUGGAUCCUUAAAAAACCUUAAUCUGGUUUUUAAACACUGGGAGAAAUGACUAUAAAAGUCAAGAAUAGUGGUUACUUAUGGGGAUGAGAAGCUGAGAUAGAGACCCAACUCAUGCAGGGAUUUUUGGGGGUUUAGGAGGCAAGAGAGUUUUGUUUUUUGAACUGGAGGGCAGUUACAAGGGUUUUAUCCAUAAUAUAAAUCAUUAUUUUUUUGUGUCACUUUCUGUAUCUUUUUAAAAUAAGUUAAAAACUUAUAUUUUACUUUUAAAAAGUGUUUCAGAAAAACCUUUUCUAUUGUGUAACAAAAUAGCUAAAGUUCCAUUUGUUCACUCCUUUCUCUUUUCCCACUGGGCAUUUCCUUGAGAAACUGAGAAAUAAUCACUGGCUUUCCCUUCUCAAGUUCUUCUCAUGCCUAAAGCACCAACUGCUUCUCAUUGUAUCAUGGAGUCCUUUUCAAAUUCUGCAACCCUGGUCCAAUACUGAGAGCAAGGCCUUUGGAAGUGGGCCCCUUUGAAUUAAAAUUCCAGCUAUGCCUCUUAAUAUCUGUGUGACUGUGAGCAGGUUACUUACCUUCUCUCGACCCUUGUCCCUUCAUUGGUAAAAUAGGGAUAAUAAUAUCAGACUCAAUGGGUAAUUGGGGAAGUUAGCAGAGGUGAUGACUACAAGACAUUUGGCACCUAUAGAAUGUUAGGACAAUUGAUGAAGUCAGAAUUAGGCUUGUACGUUAAUUUCUUGAGUUUGAUAAGAGUACAAAAUCUGAAGAUUAAUUAAAUAAUAGUUUUAUAUAAAUCUAUUGAUUUUGAUACACUGUGGUUAUAUAAGAGUGUCUUUGUUUUUUGGAACCAAGAG